GUGAGGAAUUUUCCGCAAUGGGCGAAAGCCUGACGGAGCAAUGCCGCGUGAAGGAUGAAGGCCUAUGGGUUGUAAACUUCUUUUCUCAGAAAAGAAUUAUGACGGUAUCUGAGGAAUAAGCAUCGGCUAACUCUGUGCCAGCAGCCGCGGUAAGACAGAGGAUGCAAGCGUUAUCCGGAAUGAUUGGGCGUAAAGCGUCUGUAGGUUGUUUAAAAAGUAUUCUGUCAAAGAUUAGGGCUUAACCCUAGAUAGGCAGAAUAAACUUUUAAGCUAGAGUGUGGUAGAGGAAGAGGGAAUUCCCGGUGGAGCGGUGAAAUGCGUAGAUAUCGGGAGGAACACCAAAGGCGAAGGCACUCUGCUGGGCCAAUACUAACACUGAGAGACGAAAGCGAGGGGAGCAAAUGGGAUUAGAAACCCGUGUAGUCC
rnacentral:rRNA from 1 species